UACGUAGGGGGCAAGCGUUGUCCGGAAUCAUUGGGCGUAAAGAGCGUGUAGGCGGCCAGAAAAGUCCGCUGUGAAAACUCGAGGCUCAACCUCGAGACGUCGGUUGAAACCGUUUGGCUAGAGUCCGGAAGAGGAGAGUGGAAUUCCCGGUGUAGCGGUGAAAUGCGCAGAUAUCAGGAGGAACACCGGUGGCGAAGGCGGGUCUCUGGGCAGUAACUGACGCUGGAGGA
rnacentral:rRNA from 1 species